AAUGUCUGGGGUUUCCUCUGCCUUUUUUCCAAUGAAAAUAACAAAACCUCUUAUUUCCCAUUGAGGGGGAAAAAGGUGGGAGAAGCCCCGGCAGAACUGAAGCUGCUCCU
ensembl:miRNA